rnacentral:lncRNA from 1 species
UUUUAACCUGCGGUAGGUGCUUAAUGAAAUUUGGGGGUUCUUUGAGCUUCUAUUUAAUUAUUAUUCUCCUUUUUCUGGUGCAAAAGUUAAGAUCUUAUAAUUAUUUAAAGUAAUUGCUAUUUUUCAACAUUAGGAAAACUAUUGUUAUGUUUAAUUAUUUCUACAAGGCUUAGCCAACCAUGGCUUUCCAUUUAUCUACUGUUGUCUUGAAUUAAUGAGGGAUAUGAAAUAACAUUUCAACAAUUAUUCAUUAUAUUAUAGCAUUGAAUCAAGUUUGAGAUGAUUAUUUUUGUUUUAGGAGAAAAACUGAAAUUCAAUAAAGCAUUUUAGAAGCCUGAUACUUGAUUUAAAUGUGUGUGUGUGUGUUGCCUGUAUGUAUCUGCAAGGUGUGCAUAUAGUGUCUACAGAAACAAAUGUUUGUUUUCUGCAUUUUUUUCAUUUUGUUUUGGCAUUUUUUGUGUGAUUGGUUUUAUUUAUUUACUUAUGUUUAGUUUGUAUGGUUUUAUUUUUUUUAGAAAGUACGUGAAAAUGGAUGAGUAGGAAAGUGGUAAUAAUUUAUGAGAAGUUGGAGAAAGGAUGUGAUACAAACUUUUAAAAAUUUAAAAAAUUUUUAUAUUAUGUAUAUAUUUUUCUGUAUGUUUUUAUGUGUAGCAUGUUUCUGAAGUGACCAUGGAGACUAUCAGAGGGCAUUGGAUCUCCAGGAACUAGACUUACAGUCAAUUCUGGGCUGCUAGGAAAAACAAACAAACAAACAAACAAACAAACAAACAAACUUGGAUCCUCUAAAAGGACAGCCAGAGCCGUUGUCUUUCGCAGCCCCUGAUUUUUCUUUUCUUUCUGUUUUUCCUCUUCAUUUUGAAACAGGGUCUCACACUCUGCUGGCCUAGAACUUAGGGCUUGAACUCAUAGAACUUGGCUUAUCCCUCCCUCUUAAGUACUGAGAUUUAAGGCAUGUGCCACCAUACAUAGCUUGAUAUAUACAUUUGUUAUCCUUGAGACUAUUAGACUACUGAUUGAAUAAUAACAUUUAUGAGCAAAUUUCCUUUUAAGGUUUUAUCUAUUGAUGUUAUUAACAAGUAACUUAAAAUGUAAUGUUUGUUUUCCUUUUGGAUUCUUUUAAGUUGACCACUUCAAUCACUUUUCAAAGAGAUGUAAUAUUCACAGCUUGCCAAAUCAG